rnacentral:rRNA from 1 species
CUCGUAGGCGGCUUGGCAAGUCGGGUGUGAAAACUCCAGGCUCAACCUGGAGAUGCCACUCGAGACUGCUAUGGCUAGAGUCCGGUAGGGGACCACGGAAUUCCUGGUGUAGCGGUGAAAUGCGCAGAUAUCAGGAGGAACACCGGUGGCGAAGGCGGUGGUCUGGGCCGGCACUGACGCUGAGGAGCGAAAGCGUGGGGAGCAAACAGGAUUAGAUACCCUGGUAGUCCACGCCGUAAACGUUGGGCACUAGGUGUGGGGCCUUAUCAACGGGUUCCGUGCCGUAGCUAACGCAUUAAGUGCCCCGCCUGGGGAGUACGGCCGCAAGGCUAAA